UACAGAGGUCUCAAGCGUUGUUCGGAUUCAUUGGGCGUAAAGGGUGUGUAGGUGGCGCGCUAAGUCGGGUGUGAAAUUUCGGAGCUUAACUCCGAAACUGCAUUCUAUACUGGCGUGCUUGAGGACUGGAGAGGAGACUGGAAUUCAUGGUGUAGCAGUGAAAUGCGUAGAGAUCAUGAGGAAGACCAGUGGCGAAGGCGGGUCUCUGGACAGUUCCUGACACUGAGACACGAAGGCCAGGGGAGCAAACGGG
rnacentral:rRNA from 1 species